CCUACGGGAGGCUGCAGUGGGGAAUAUUGGACAAUGGGGGGAACCCUGAUCCAGCCAUGCCGCGUGUGUGAAGAAGGCCCUCGGGUUGUAAAGCACUUUCAGUGAGGAAGAACGCCUGGUGGUUAAUACCCAUCAGGAAAGACAUCACUCACAGAAGAAGCACCGGCUAACUCCGUGCCAGCAGCCGCGGUAAUACGGAGGGUGCGAGCGUUGAUCGGAAUUACUGGGCGUAAAGCGCGCGUAGGUGGCUUGAUAAGCCGGUUGUGAAAGCCCCGGGCUCAACCUGGGAACGGCAUCCGGAACUGUCAAGCUAGAGUGCAGGAGAGGAAGGUAGAAUUCCCGGUGUAGCGGUGAAAUGCGUAGAGAUCGGGAGGAAUACCAGUGGCGAAGGCGGCCUUCUGGACUGACACUGACACUGAGGUGCGAAAGCGUGGGUAGCAAACAGGAUUAGAUACCCUAGUAGUC
rnacentral:rRNA from 1 species